GUAUUUUGAUUAUUAUUGCUGGAAAUAUUUUUUCUUGUGUUUGGGACUGUGUGUGGUAAAAUUGAUGUUUACUGAUGAAAAAUCUCAUCCUUCCAAGUUUAGUUAUACAACUUUAAAAAAAUGUGGUGCGAACAUAACCUGUGUCCCCACCAUGUAAAUGGGACCUAACAUAAGAGAAUGUGAGCAGUGAUGUAGAAAAAUAAAGACUAUAAAAUAAAGAUUGUAUGAUUCCCCUAGGCAAUAUUCUUUUAGAAGCAUACUUUCCACACGGAACAGAUUAAAAAAACAUGUUGUUGCAUACAGUUGUGUGUAAGAGAUGGUUUUCACUAAAACAUUUUCUGGGGCUUUGGGACAUUACUUGCAUAGAUUACUCUACUGUUAAUGCUGUUUUCUUAAGUGUUUAAAAAGAGAAGUAGGACCAAUCUUUCUAGACCCGGAUGGUUUAGAAUUAGGUUCCUAAAUCCAUAUUUACGCCCUGAUACUGCAAAUAUGCAUCAGUGUUUGCAGGAUCAGGGUCUUAAAUUGCUAAAUAAGUUACCUGUUUUUCAGUGGAGCGGUCGGUGCUGAGCACCCUUGAAAAUCAUAUCAUUUGUUUAAUUGCCUAAAUAUGGAUUUUGGGUUCUAACUCUAAACACCACAAUCUUAAAAUUUUGGGCUUGAUUAUAUCACCUUUUUGUGUGUGAAAAUUCUCUUUACAUCUCCUUCCUACACUUGCCAAUUUGUAUUAAGAUCUUGAGUCAUCAGUGAAGCCCUUUUAUAGUGAAAUUGGGUUUUUGUUUUUGAUUUUUUUUAUAGAAAAGCUUUACUCUUAGCAGAGGCUCAGUGUAACGGGAAUUUCAGUUUGCACAUUGCAUGGCACAGAAACUGUUAGGAACUUUCAUUCUACUUCACUGUAACUGGAGUUUGUCUGUAUCUUAGUUCACCAUAAGCAGUUUCCUCUGCCUGCCUGUCUGUCUGAAAUUAUAACUGGUAAUAUAAUGAGAAAUUAUUUACUAGUAAAUAAUUUAGCAAUUAAUGGGGAAAAUGUAUUGAAUAAACAUAUACAAAUUAUUAUUCAGUUAUCUAUAGAGCUGUUCAAAUAAUGACAAUGUAUAACUGAAUAAUCUAUUUCAAUUCAUAUGUUAGAAUCCAUUGGAUGAAUCGAUCAGGACAUGCAGGUGGCUGAGGACAGACAUUGGGAUGGAUUUUAAGCAGCCGGCCACAACUUUACUAAACCUAGCACCCCUCCCCAGUGUUACUGCCCUGUCUCCCUGUACCAGGCUUAGAAGAGGAUCCAGUGUGGGGUUUACAGUGCUCCUAUCAUGUAGCCCAUAUCACAGGCUAGACUCUGCACUGCCGACCCCUAGGAUUCAGCCAGCUCUGCUGAAUCCUCUCACUCUGCUCCCUGUGAACAGGAUAGAAGUAUCAAAGAGGGACCUGGCUCUGUGAAGACUUCAGGUUUCCCUUUUCCCCAUAGGCCUGAGGUCCAUUAGUGAAAUUCCAGGUCUCUUAUUUCUGGAUACUGGCCCUUUUGGCCUUUUAUCUGCACUGAACACCAGCUACAAGUUUCAAUGGAUUAAGUAGUCCUACAAUUCCUAUUUAACCUAACUGUCUCUCUGUCAGGCUAUAAGGCGAAAAAAACUCUCAUGCUCACCUACAAUUUGGCCCUGAUGGG